rnacentral:misc_RNA from 1 species
CAGUGUCAUCUCCAGCAAACCCAGCACAUCGCUCAACGAACGGGGAGAAAAAAAGGUGGAAUAGGCGCACACCAAAGUAGCGUGGCGAUCCUUGAGAAAAACACCUACUCACCGAGGUGGCAAUCAGUAGCGGUCAAGCUGCACGCGCUGACGUCGCAGAACGUACGAUACGCAGAGCAGGACCCUUCACGCGCCCACUAAGAAAGGAUUACGCUUGCUCUUCUCUCUGCCCCUUUCCCCCAGACACACCUGCUCCUAUCACGACUUCCGUCUCCCGCCUAACAAACCCGUCAUCGUCAUCCUUAUCAGCGUUCUCACACGUAGUGACCCCACUUUCUCUCUAGGAGCAAGCCCGCCUUCACAUUGAGGCAGUGGCAUCGCUUUUUCGUUGUUGUCUCCACCUCCUGCUUCCUGCCUCUGUGGUUGUCUCUCCGUGACCUUGCGCGCUUCAAGCUUUUGAACCCGGUAGCUGCUCGCAACCUCACGCCUCCUUCCUUUCUCUCCGUCUCUGACAACGAUAUACGUUGAGCUCCCACCGCCGCUGUCCCCCGGCCCACCCCAUCCGUAACUCCAUCACGGUCACUACGGCUACGCACAUACGCACAUCUCUGCGUUGCAUUCCACAG